CCUACGGGAGGCAGCAGUCGGGAAUUUUGGGCAAUGGGCGAAAGCCUGACCCAGCAACGCCGCGUGAAGGAUGAAGUUUUUCGGAAUGUAAACUUCGUAAAAAUAGGAAGAAUAAAUGACGGUACUAUUUGUAAGGUCCGGCUAACUACGUGCCAGCAGCCGCGGUAAUACGUAGGGACCAAGCGUUGUUCGGAUUUACUGGGCGUAAGGGGCGCGUAGGCGGCAAUUCAAGUCAUCUGUGAAAUCUCCGGGCUUAACUCGGAACGGUCAGAUGAUACUGCUUUGCUAGAGUACAGAAGGGGCAAUCGGAAUUCUUGGUGUAGCGGUGAAAUGCGUAGAUAUCAAGAGGAACACCUGAGGUGAAGACGGGUUGCUGGGCUGAUACUGACGCUGAGGCGCGAAAGCUAGGGUAGCAAACGGGAUUAGAUACCCCGGUAGUCCUAGCCCUAAACGAUGAAUACUUGGUGUCUGGAGUUUUAAUCCUCCGGGUGCCGUCGCUAACGUUUUAAGUAUUCCGCCUGGGGAGUACGCACGCAAGUGUGAAACUCAAAGGAAUUGACGG
rnacentral:rRNA from 1 species